GCCGAGCGUGGUGGCUCAAGCCUGUAAUCCCAGCACUUUGGGAGGCCGAGACGGGCGGAUCACGAGGUCAGGAGAUUGAGACCAUCCUGGCUAACACGGUGAAACCCCGUCUCUACUAAAAAAAAUACAAAAAAAUAGCCGGGCGAGGUGGCGGANNNNNNNNNNUUUUGUAUUUUUUAGUAGAGACGGGGUUUCACCAUGUUAGCCAGGAUGGUCUCGAUCUCCUGACCUCGUGAUCCGCCCGUCUCGG
rnacentral:SRP_RNA from 1 species